CUGCCGGUCGCCUCUCGCCGGUCUCCUCGUACAAACCGGCGUGGACAAGAGGUGUCGUCCUGGUCGUGUCUGCUGCCUGCAGCCGGUUUUGCAUCUGGGUUUUGAUUUGAACAAGAGACGCCAGGAAGUGACCUGAGCACGACAGAGCGGCCCUGUCUCCCGCGGCAGCGACGGCAUCCGCUCGCUGAAUGCAAAGUUAUUUGCAUAGGAAAAUACAAAGUGAAGUCGGAUCAUCAUCCUCCUCAUCAUUGGAGGAGGAAGACUCGGCUUCUCAACUGAAUUUUUUAACGUAGACGUACGCAGACACUCUUUCUGUUCAUUGUGUGUUGUGUAUACUUUUAUUUUGCAUAACGACCUGGUAAAAAAAUUGGAGUUUGAUAAAUACAGCCCGUGAUAUGCAAGUGUUAGUGCUACACUAAUGACACUAUCAUUCACUAGGGGGGAACACACAGUAUUGCUAAUGCUACCCCAAAAAAAUCAUAUGGCUCGUCCUCUAUGCUCAGUAGCUACGGUUCAGCUGCCGGACACGUGACCUUCCCCACUGUCAUGGAGGCGGACUGAUUUGCCUCCGAUGCAAAUAUCAACUGAAGACGCGCUGCGGUGAUGAUGCAGAGCUCAGACAGCAGGAAUUAAAAGCCUUCAGGCAAAGAGAGAGAGAGAGAGAUAGAGAGAGAGAAAGAGAGAGAGAGAGAGAUUUGACUUUCAAUGUCAGACAGGGAUUUUCUGAACACCUGUUGAAACUUAACUAUUGAAUGCCUGUUCUCAUUAGGCCUACUCCAUGGCAAUUUUUUUAUUAUAAUAAUAAUUAUUAUUAAUUGAGCAUCCCAAAUAUGAGAAAGUUAUGGUAUCUACACUUAUUGAAUUAUUGGCAUUAAUGAAGUAGAGUUUGGAUAAUCUUCACUUGUUAGACUUCUGACUGCUGUCAUAAAACCAAUGCUACUUGUGUGUAUUAAAGGGAUAGACUAGUUAUCUAGUGCAGAAAUGAGACCAUAUGGUUUAACAAGUAGUUCCAUAGAACUGGAAAAAUGGUGGCAGGGUUGCUGUCAGCAAAACAACGGACUGUAUAUAAGAAGUGGACGAAGUCGCCGUGGGGUCACCCAUUGGUUAGUGGACUGCGACUUUUGAACUUUUGUUUUUGCAACCCGAAGUAAUCACAGUUAUCAUAAAAAACAGUGUGUUCCUCUUAUGCUUUACAAUAAAUUCACAAUACAUUUAUCUUAAUAUUCCUCAAAAUGGACUUCCUUUAUGUACAUGUGCAAAUCAAAAUAACCUUUUACCACUCUACACUAGAUAACGGGGCAAUGCCACAACUGCCUUCGAGUGAAGACCGACCCAGAGUGCAUGUUAUCCACAAUAGUUUGAUUCUUCUCUCGGUGUAAUCGGCCUUUCACCCUGCUUUAGAUUGAUUUCAUUCAGGAGUAACUAUCGGCUACAUGGACUCAUCCAACUGGUUCCCAGAUCCUGGUCUUUUAGGAGUUCCCAACAGGUGCUUGGACCAGUGAAUGUUGUAUGUUUAGAAACUGUCGUUCCAAAUGUGUAACAGCUUUUAAAACCCUCAUCUCCGGGAAUGCUAAAUGAACAAGAUAUAGCAUGUCGAGUUCAGCUCACAUGUUGCGUGUGCCGGACACACUCGGAUGAAGGAAAUAUCUUCUCACACACCUAGGAGGGUAUUUCCGUGAACGUUGGACUGUUCCUUUAAAGUGCGGGGCCUGUCUCUCAGGACAGGAAGUAAGUUACGGGCACCUGGCAACGCCGGCAAGACUGUCAGGCGCUGCUGCGUGUCCACCCCCGUUCCGUGUAAAUCAUCCAUGCUUAUGUGAAUAGAUCUGCAGUUUGCUUGAAUAAUUCUAAUAACGGUUUGUACCUGUAUGGAGAAGUCACAUACACACACGCGUGUGUACACACACGUUCCUUUGAAGUGUGUGUGUGUGUAUGUUGGCGUGGUCUCUGUCCGCGCCCCCCCGCCCCCAACAUGAAUAGAGUUGAGUCUUGGGCAGUCGACAGCUGUCUCCUUUGAACGCCCAAAGACAAAAGGCCUUAAAUCCAGCGACCUCCCUCUUUCAUGUGUUCAUCUGAUACGGCUCUUCCUCACCACACUACUGUCUCUCCAUUCAGCUCCGGGGGCCCCGAGGCUGCAGCUUGCUCCCCCCCCCCCCCCCUCCGUUCAACCUCUGGAGUCCAUGGGUUCAUUCUUCACCUCUGAAUGUUUCCGAGAGAGAGAGAGAGAUCUUUUCGUUGAGAACAAAGUGCAGCUGCCGUGCUGUCGUACCUCCAGCUGCUGAUGCUAGAGCUUGUUGGUGGAUCCAAAUUGUCCCAACGAUAAGACACAAACUUUAUCCUGCGGUAAUAUUCAAUUCAAUUCAAAAUUCUGUUUAUUUUGUAUAGCCCAUUUUCACAAAUUAGAAAUUAGCCUCAGAGUGCUUUACAAUCUGUACACAUAGACAUCCCUGACCUUUGACCUCACAUCGGAUCAGGAAAAACUCCCAAAUAACCCUUCACGGGGGGAAAAAAAGUGAAGAAACCUUCAGGAGAGCAACAGAGGAGGAUCCCUCUCCAGGAUGGACAGGUGCAAUAGAUGCCAUGUGGACAGAAUGAAUCACUAUACACUAAUUAAAACAGAGUAACAACACAAUCAAUGAAUAUGACAGUCUAUGAGUAGUUGGUAGUAGGAAUAUGCACUCUAAAUAAAAUAAACAAGCAAUACAUAUCCAUUUCCAGGGAAUUUAUGUCUCAAAUGUAUCGUUAAUGUAUCAUAUUGUUCGGCCGUGAUCAAACUCUGGUUCGUACUGCGCGUGCGUGUAACACGCGGUUCUGUUUCUCCUGUGUUCCGUGUCUCCUAUGUCUCCUCUGUGUCUUCUCUGUCUUGAUUGUUUAAUUCCCUGCACCUGCCCUCAGCCACUCUUGUCUCGUUACUGUCUGAUGUCGUACACCUGUUUCCCCCCCUAUAUAUUGUGUUCCUGGUUCUGCCUGUUGACCCUGCCUGCCCCGAACCUGGAUUCUUUGCCUUCCCCUUUUGGACCUUGUUUUUUUCUAAACUGUUUUGCCUCAUUAAAGAGUGUUUUUUUUGUUAUUUAUAUUGCGUCCAGCCUGUCACUAGAACCUGACAGUGCGUGCCACAGUUACCCAGAAGUCAAUGCAACCAUGUAACUAAAUGUGAUGUAUUUACCACAACAUGGCAAUGUAGUUCUUUAACAAAUGGAUCACACGCAGAGAAAACGCAUUGGAAAACAUAAAGAAAUGUUUGACCCGCUGUUUCCUUCUUUUCAGUGUUAACAUGAGCGAGUGGUGAAAUGGGAGAAAAUGGCUGACUUUAUAGGAGGGGCUGAUGGGGCACAAAGAAGGGGAAUCGGUCACUUGCAGGUUCCAGGUAUUAAAUGUAUGGGCUAAAGUUGUGGCGCUGUUCUACUGAGGGAUCUAGUUUCAAAAUGUAGUUUUUAACAGUUAUAUUCUGCUUUCUUUUCUUUUUUCAAUUCAAACUCACAAGUUGUGUCCAUAUACAUCUGAUGAACACAAACUGCAUCAUGAUUCCAGCACAGAGCUCCAGGCUCACUGGGAUCAACAGGGGCCCGAUAGAAAUGUUUUGGAUACAAACUGCAUGAGGGAAAAGUCCAAAUAUCUUAAUAAAUAGUCAACAUGUGUCAAUUAUAGUGCACCAAAAUUAAAUGGGUACUGCAGUUUUUAGUUCAAGCUCUGUAGUUCUUCGGAGACGCCUUCUGAUGAGCUCGUCCGAUAUGAAGCAACUGGCAGUAAAUGUCUUCAAGAAAUCUUUCUUUUUCUUUGGCCAGAGUUCCACUUAAACAAAUCUUUUCCUUUCAUACACCUCAUGCCCAAAAGACACAGAUGAAAGCUAAAAAUAGUUUCUCCCAAAAGAAGACCAGGGGAGUCUUGGUGUGAUAACCCAGACGGUCGGCCCUCCAUGUGUCCGACUGCCUCCCCUUUCACUGAGGGUAAUUAGAAAAUCUUCAGGGCAGGAUCUUCUUGUCUCUGUGUGUGUGUGUGUGUGUGUGUGUGUGUUCAGGCUGUGCAUAAGGAGGCUGAGGCCCAACGCUGUACCAGGCAAAGGUUUCCACCGGCCUGUUCUUGCAUAACUCAUUCGCGGUUUAAUGCGCUCGGUCUCACAGUCCUCGCCGAGCUCGGAGACUACAGGUCGAAGAUUUCCCCCGUGCAGAGACUUCGAGAUUUCGAGAUUGGCCGAUCUUCACGUUCAGCAAGAGGCUCCCAGCGGACCGCUGCUGCUUCUUUGCGAUUGGCCGCCCGGACCAAACCAACCUGCCUCGGUGUUUGGGGAGUGCAAUGUUGACAGAGCGGCGCCCAACGGUUGUUAAAGCCCUGGCGGAGCGUUGGGAGAACCUGCGUGCUGAAUGUGUUAAUGUGUAGCUCCUUUACAGUGACGGGGCCGCGGAGCCUCCGGUAAUGUUUAGGACUGUGGACUUUGAUACUCAUUUGAUUCAAGCGGCCAGAAAGACGGCUGCCAUUCAUUUACUCGCUCACGGCGGACGUGAGGAUGCCUGUGCUCAGCAGCGUUCACUUCAUCUCACUUCCGCUCUCCGCUUGGUACAAAUCUGUUUGUCUGAGGUCGACGAACAGAGGAUGAGCCCCUUCAGAGCAGGGAGUGUAUUCCUGCUCGUUCUCUUUCAUUCUUGCUCAUCAGAUUUGAUGCAUGUUGCCAAGUUGAGUCCAACCAGCGAACCAGAAGACGAGUUUCCUCUGAAAUAUCUACUCACAAAACGUUAUCAUCUCAUUACAUGACAUUAUAUCA